GUUGGACUGGUGCCUGUGUGUCUGCCUGCCUUUCUUCCUUCCUCCAAAACAUUCGCUUCCCCUGAAGGUCACUACUUGUAUGGGGCUUCACUCUGCCUCGUGAGAAUGUCUCAGAGCACAAUGGGCCGCAAACAGUGUCCUCCCAGGAGAAAGAGUGAAAUCAGAGAGCUGGGUGGGAAAGGCUUGCCUUGCUUUGUCAUCGGUUAUAUAACCGUAAAAGGGAGUCAAGGGUAUCUGCAGCUUAGGAAGAAAAAAAAAAGCCCAAGGGAUUUUGUUCUUUUUCCUGUUUACAUUUGUGCAUUUGCGUUGUGUGCCAGAACACAAACUGCUCCCGUUUAAAAAUAACCAAUUUCGUCCCCCGCCAGUCAGAAAAUCAGAUUUAAGUUCCAGUCCCUGAAUUUGCCUAGUUUAGGAACGUUAAGGAGUUAGUUAACCUAUUUGGACUUUUUUUUUUAGAUUGUGGCAAAAUACGUAUGCAUAAAAUUUACCAUCUUAGCCAUUUUUAAGUGUACAAUUCAGUCGUGUUAAGUAUGUUGGAGGGAAGGAGAAAUAAUUUUUCCUCUACUCUUCAGAGUUCUCAGCUGAGACCCCUGUAAUAAAAGAUCAACAAGAGAAAAAAAAGCCCAAAAGUUUAUGGACGUGUCACCUUCAUGUGUGCCUGAGAGAGACCCAGGGGAGAAUGAGGAGAAAUAACCUUCACGGAAGCUCCAUAGAAACAGGGGCUGUCACCAGUCCCCCACGACCUAACUGGUGAGUCAUUUCACGAAUUUCAGUGUCGUCAUCUCGAAAGUGAAGGCUUUGCAAAGAGUCAGGUCACUCCAGAUCUCAGAGGAGAUGUUUUCUGAUUUAAAACACGAGGUCAAGUCAAAUGAGACAGAAGACUUCCUGGGGAAAGAAUUCAUUCAUUGUUACAGCAGACAAAGGACUGCACCUCCAGGAUACAACAGGAUCUCUGCUUUCAACAAAAUACACCUUUUAUUUUUAUUGAUAAAAUACAGAUACAGUGUAUAAAUAUAAAAAUAAACGAUACGUGCACCAAAGCCA
rnacentral:lncRNA from 1 species